rnacentral:lncRNA from 1 species
ACCAUGCAUUGUAGUAGAUGGUUGCCUAGCUUGGUCAGAUAAUAAAAAGAACAGAAUGUCAAAAUAAAAAAAUGAAACAAGGGAGCCACCGCACACAACAGGUUUGGUGACUGGUUUUUCCAACAAAAAAUAUGAAUCUUAUACAAAAUUGAAAAUAAUGUCAGAGACAACAACCCAACCAAAGAGCAGAAAACAGCCGAAGGCCACUAAUGGCUCUUCAACUCACCAGAAAAUUCAGCAUCAGGAGGCAGGC